rnacentral:misc_RNA from 1 species
GAUGAAGAACGCAGCGAAAUGCGAUACGUAAUGUGAAUUGCAGAAUUCAGUGAAUCAUCGAAUCUUUGAACGCAUAUUGCGCUCUCUGGUAUUCCGGAGAGCAUGCUUGUUUGAGUAUCAGUAAACACCUCAACUCCCUUUUCUUUUUUGAAAUUGGAGCUGGACUUGAGUGAUCCCAACGCUUUCUUCCAAGAAAGUGGCGGGUUGCUUGAAAUGCAGGUUCAGCUGAACUUUUCUCUGAGCUAUAAGCAUAUCUAUUUAGUCUGCCUAAAAAACAGAUUAUUACCUUUGCUGCAGCUAACAUAAAGGAGACUAGUUCUUGUGCUGACUGAUGCAGGAUUCACAGAGACAGCUUCGGCUGACUUUGUAAACUCGAUCUCAAAUCAAGUAAGACUACCCGCUGAACUUAAGCAUAUCAAUAAGCGGAGGA